rnacentral:rRNA from 1 species
AACGAACGCUGGCGGCAUGCCUAACACAUGCAAGUCGAACGAAAACUCCGGGUCUAGUGGCGAACGGGUGCGUAACGCGUGGGAACCUGCCCUUAGGUUCGGAAUAACUCCUCGAAAGGGGUGCUAAUAACGGAUAAUGUCUUCGGACCAAAGAGUUAUCGCCUUUGGAUGGGCCCGCGUUGGAUUAGCUAGUUGGUAGGGUAAAAGCCUGCCAAGGCGACGAUCCAUAGCUGGUCUGAGAGGAUGAUCAGCCACACUGGGACUGAGACACGGCCCAGACUCCUGCGGGAGGCAGCAGUGGGGAAUAUUGGACAAUGAGCGAGAGGCUGAGCCAGCGAUGGCGCGUGAGUGAUGAAGGCCUUAGGGUUGUAUAGCUCUUUUACCCGGGAUGAUAAUGACAGUACCGGGAGAAUAAGCUCCGGCUAACUACGUG